CUCAAGGUCACGCGCAUUCUGUCUUGCUUGCCUCUUGAUCCUAUUAAUCCAUUUUUGUUUUUCUGUUAGAUUUCUGUCGCUCUCCGUCUUUCUGUCACUCACUGUGCGCACGCACAGCAACGUGUCAACCUCCAGGUCCUCUUGUUCCUACGUCUCAUCUCCCCGCAGCUCGUGGCUAUCUUCACCCUCUACGGCUCCUUCAUGAUGGCCCCCUAAUCUGUGCCAGUGUGGUUCCAUGAAGGGAAGCUACGGAGAGGUUUGGCAUCGGUGAUGCUAACGAUGCUGAGGGCGACCGUUACAAGGAACAGAGAUGGAUUCGAAAGGAAGAGAUUGAACUGUCAAUAGGAUGGAACAGUGGAGUGAAGUGAAUGUGUAGCUCAUGUCACUUCCUCUCCCGAGAACAUAAGGAAGUUUUUCUGAUUUCGGCGGUGCCAGCCCCCUGUGUAGUCCAGCGUGUACACGGGCUUAUUAAACCAGGCUCCUAUUCAGUCCACCCAACGGUCGCUCCGCUGUCAACUUAAGCCCAAGCCAUUCCAACACUCCACGACUAUUGUUGCAAGCUUCUCCAGAACUCGGUAUUGCUAGACAGCCGAUGUGCAGAGGGAGAGCGGGAAAGGCCCCGCCUAUCCUCAUAUCUAAUGCAUAAUUAUCUUUUGAUGCGUUGCAAUUUCCCCCGUGUGGAUGGUUCUUAAAAAGAUGUCUUUUUUUUUCAUUUAUUAUCCAUGUCUUGCAUAAGAGAUAUUUUGACAUUUUCUGAUGAGCCAGUUGCUGAGAUAUCACGGAGGCUUUAAUCGUCUCCUGUGAGCUGGCAAGCUCACGAGGUAACCAAAUGAUUGACGAUUAUUAUUUCAUACGAGAAAAACAAACAAACUGCAAGCAAAAGUUUUUCAGAUAUUGCCUUGGGUAUUUGUUGUGGUCUGUCGCAAUGCAAAAAGGA
ensembl:lncRNA